UACGUAGGUGGCGAGCGUGUCCGGAUUUAUUGGGUUUAAAGGGUGCGUAGGCGGCCCUGUAAGUCAGUGCUGAAAUACCCCGGCUUAACCGGGGGGGUGGCAUUGAUACUGCAGGGCUUGAGUACAGAUGAGGUAGGCGGAAUUGACGGUGUAGCGGUGAAAUGCAUAGAUAUCGUCAAGAACACCGAUAGCGAAGGCAGCUUACUGGGCUGUAACUGACGGCUGAUGCACGAAAGUGUGGGGAUCAAACAGG
rnacentral:rRNA from 1 species